rnacentral:rRNA from 1 species
GAGUUUGAUCUUGGCUCAGAUUGAACGCUGGCGGCAGGCCUAACACAUGCAAGUCGAGCGGAUGACGGGAGCUUGCUCCUUGAUUCAGCGGCGGACGGGUGAGUAAUGCCUAGGAAUCUGCCUGGUAGUGGGGGACAACGUUUCGAAAGGAACGCUAAUACCGCAUACGUCCUACGGGAGAAAGCAGGGGACCUUCGGGCCUUGCGCUAUCAGAUGAGCCUAGGUCGGAUUAGCUAGUUGGUGGGGUAAUGGCUCACCAAGGCGGCGAUCCGUAGCAGGUCUGAGAGGAUGAUCUGCCACACUGGAACUGAGACACGGUCCAGACUCCUACGGGAGGCAGCAGUGGGGAAGUUUUUGGACAAUGGGGGCAACCCUGAUCCAGCCAUGCCGCGUGAGUGAAGAAGGCC